UUUAUAUAUGUUUUAUCAUUGAAUAUAAAAAUGCAAGUUAAAACACUUAACUAAUCAUAAUAAUAGAUAAUAAAUAAAAGAAUAAAUAAAUAUUAGAAAUAAUGAGAUAUUUUUCAAAUUAUAUUUUGUUAAUUUUUUUAUUUCUUAAUUAAUAUAUUUUUCAUAUAAUAAAACAUUUAAAUAAUUAUUCUUUGUUGAUAAUAAAUAAUUAAUAAUCAUUAUAUAUAUAUUGAUGAAUAGAUGGGAAAUAUAUUUUGCCCAUCUAUUUAUACAUUUAUAGUUCGAGGAUGAUUCGCAUGAAGUUUGUCGCAAGCAAAAUGCUCUCGUUGACUACUAAUAUUCACAUGCGAAUACAUUUGUCUGGCAGUAAUGAUCCACCAAGUUACAUAUAGGUAAAUUUAUUUUAUUUAUCUAACCAUAAUUCUUUUUUUAAUAAUUGCACAUACUUCAUCAAAUACAUAUAUCACAUAUUAUAUUAAAUUGAAAAUACGAUUACAAAUUAUUCAAUUCGUUUUAAAAAAUAUUUUAUCUUUGUUUAACGAUUGAGUUAAAUUCUUAAGUGAGUAAUAUUAAAAAAAAAUCACGAAUACCAAUCGAGCGCACUGCUUAUAACUUGCACGUUUAAGAAUUUUGCUAUCUGAAAAUAGACUAAUUGACUUAUGUAAUUCGGUAAACGUGGUCCCUCGGUUUUCAAGUGGAAACGGAAUUGCACGAUUUUCACGACAAAACGCUCAACGCGGGAGGAUGUUUGAUCGUGCCGAUUUCACAUCCAUGGCAACGUAUAUCCUUAUUACCUAAACGCAUUCAUCAGUCCCUUCAUAAGGGAACGGAUGCAGCUAUCCAAACGAUUAGCGAACAGCAUCCGGCGCCGAUCUAAAAGACGCUGUGUGGAGUGAUCGAGGAUGGGAGGAUCCCACUCGAUGAUGAGUGACGUUUAUUGCACGUUCGUAAAUCAUUCUAGUGUGUCUGUAAAUGUGUGCAACAAGAAAGAAUCUCGUAAUUGAGGACUUAAGAAGAAUUAUAUAUAUAUGUUCUGAAAAGGAAUUCUUUAUCUAAAGAAAAUUGAUGCAGGGCGGAGUCUAAAGUUUUCGUGCUUGGAAAAGCGCAGGCGAUAUCGCUUCCUCCGGGUUACCGGCCCUCUGAUCAAUAUUAAUACGUGACACCGGCGAGAGGGCGAACUGGUAAGACUCAUACAUACAAAUAUAUAUACAUAUAUAUAUAUAUAUAUAUGUAUAUAUAUAUAUAUAUAUAUAUAUACACACAUACAUACAUACAUACAUACAUACAAAGAAUGUCAUAUGAAAAAUUAAAAGAAAAAAAAAAAAUUAGAAAGAAAUGAUAGAAAAAUUAUCAUGCAUUCAAUCGCGUUCGAAAUGAUACAUAUGAUAGAUGAAUGACGAUAGGACAUAAGCAGUAAAAAGAAAAAGAAAAAACAAAUUCACAAGAGCGAGAAAAAACGAAGAAGAUAUACAGUUGAUAAAUGUGUAUUUACCGCCAAUCUAGGAACGUCCACAGUCUUGUCGGUGCAGCCCACCUCGAUGAUUAAAAUGUGACAAUAAAAACCCUUGUUUUUUGCCCUAGCACGCUGCAUGCAACACCUUUUUAUCCUCGUAAAUCGAUCCACAACACGUCAUCGAUAAUAUCGUUCAAAGAAAAUCACGGUAACUACUGUCAACGAUUUAGAAGGGCGCGGAGAUCAGGGUGAGACACUCUAUUCACUCACGUAUACGCACUUUUCUUGUCGAUUUUAAUGCUUUAGCGAUUUUCUAAACGUAGCGAAGCCACGACUGUGUAAUUGGCACUGUCAUUACUGUCACGUAUAUUUCCGUAUAGAUUUUGUUGUUUUUCAAUGAUACGUGUACCCGUUACUAUAAAUGAAGAUUCGAAACUGUUAGCAUACAAGUAUCGGUACAAGCGGAAUCGCUACAGAACAAUUCGACCUCGUAUGUACGGUCACGAUACGUCCGUGUAUUGCAUUCUUUCAAGACUAACUGCGGGAUCACGAUUUUUAGUUCUCUAACAUCUCAAGUGGUGCCCUCCUAUGGCGAGCGUUGCCCAGAAAUAUAUAAUAUAUAGAAAGGCAUUUGUAUUUAUAUUUUUAAUAACAUUUUCAUGUAACGAUAAAAUAAAAGUAAUUUCCAUGUUACUAAAUUUUUUAAAUAAAAUUUUUAGAAUAAAUAUAUUCAAAUUAUUAAUAAAAUUUAAAUAAAAUGUUUAUACUAGAACAUAAGUAUAUAUAAUAAAAUAAUAUAACAUAAAUGGAGUUAAUUUGAUUAGUUUUGUAUUCAUAUAAUAGUAUCGAGAUUUGUUUUUAUAUGUUUGUAUUAUAUUAAAUAUAUAAAAAAAUUUUAUUU